CCUACUAAAGUCAAAUGGUCAGGAAGGAUGAUGAAGGCUUUCUUCUACUGAUGCCAUCCUAUUUGACCUGAUCUCUAACCGUGGCUUUGAAGACAGCUGCCAACUUCCUUCUUAAAAUUAAAUCCACCUAGCGAUUCAUGCCAGAAACCUCGGGGUUCUCCAUGAGAGCUACCCGCCCCGCUCUACCCUCUGCAUUCAACACAUCAUCAUUUACCUGUACAACAUAGUCCAGGAAAUCAAGUUUGGUCAAGUGUCGCGCAGCC